rnacentral:rRNA from 1 species
UACGUAGGGACCAAGCGUUGUCCGGAAUCAUUGGGCGUAAAGCGCGCGUAGGUGGCUCCGUAAGUCCGUUGUGAAAGUCAAAGGCUCAACCUUUGAAAGCCGAUGGAUACUGCGGAGCUAGAGUACGGAAGAGGCGAGUGGAAUUCCUGGUGUAGCGGUGGAAUGCGCAGAUAUCAGGAAGAACACCCGUGGCGAAGGCGGCUCUCUGGGACGGUACUGACGCUGAGACGCGAAAGCGUGGGGAGCGAACAGG